AUUGAACGCUGGCGGCAGGCUUAACACAUGCAAGUCGAGCGGGGAAGGGUAGCUUGCUACCUAACCUAGCGGCGGACGGGUGAGUAAUGCUUAGGAAUCUGCCUAUUAGUGGGGGGCAACAUUCCGAAAGGAAUGCUAAUACCGCAUACGCCCUACGGGGGAAAGCAGGGGAUCUUCGGACCUUGCGCUAAUAGAUGAGCCUAAGUCAGAUUAGCUAGUUGGUGGGGUAAAGGCCUACCAAGGCGACGAUCUGUAGCGGGUCUGAGAGGAUGAUCCGCCACACUUGUACUGAGACUCGGCCCAGACUCCUACGGGAGGCAGCAGUGGGGAAUAUUGGACAAUGGGCGCAAGCCUGAUCCAGCCAUGCCGCGUGUGUGAAGAAGGCCUUUUGGUUGUAAAGCACUUUAAGCGAGGAGGAGGCUACUUGGAUUAAUACUCUGGGAUAGUGGACGUUACUCGCAGAAUAAGCACCGGCUAACUCUGUGCCAGCAGCCGCCGCAG
rnacentral:rRNA from 1 species